rnacentral:tRNA from 1 species
GGAGGCGUAGUGUAGCGGUCUAACACGUCGGCCUGUCAAGCCGAAGAUCGCGGGUUCGAUUCCCGUCGCUUCCGCCA